rnacentral:tRNA from 1 species
CUCCUCAUAGUUUAAAAGAACAUAAUAUUUUCAAUAUUAAAGAAAAGAGGGUA